UACGGGGGGGGUAAGCGUUGUUCGGAAUUUCUGGGCGUAAAGGGCUCGUAGGCUGCCAACUAAGUCAGACGUGAAAUCCCUCAGCUUAACUGGGGAACUGCGUCUGAUACUGGAUGGCUUGGAUUCGGGAGAGGAAUGCGGAAUUCCAGGUGUAGCGGUGAAAUGCGUAGAUAUCUGGAGGAACACCGGUGGCGAAGGCGGCAUUCUGGACCGAUAUUGACGCUGAGGAGCGAAAGCCAGGGGAGCAAACGGG
rnacentral:rRNA from 1 species